AUGUGUCAUACUCUUCUACAACAAAUAGAAAUAUCUACCUUGUGGACUGGAAGAAUGGAUUUGAGCUACUUAAUAAGCUUGAGGCAAAACCCUUUUUGGAUACAAGCAAAUAAGCAUUCUGAGGAAAUGUCAAAGGACUUCACUCAAGAAUUAGGGGCAGUAUUCUAUUUGACUGGAUACUUGCAUUCAUGGAGAAAUUAACUGAUGUGAGUGGAGCUGUGCCUACUUGCAAUGAGUCAAUCUAAGCAGAUUUGAUCACAGAUACAUUUUAUGCACUUUAAUUGAAGAUAUGUAUGGUUUAAACUAAAAUCUCAUCAGUAGUGUGAGCAUGCAGAUCACGAUUUCUGUGGCUGUCUUUUUCUCUCCUUACUGUAGCUACUGGAUGUAUGUAUGGGCUUUGUGUUUUCCUUUGUCAGUAAAAAAUAUAAGGGUUCCUUUGAAGGAGUAGACAUCUCUUCAGUAUUGUAUGCUGGAAGUAAAUGCAUGAAGUGAACCUCGAU
rnacentral:lncRNA from 1 species